AAUGCAUAGUUACAUAAUAUUACGUAUGAUGACAGUGCACAUUGACUUAAAACAACAUUUGUAUCCAUAGAGUUACUGAGCAGUAGAGAUCUAGCUUGACAAUUGAAAGAAAUGAGUGAAAAUCAGGACAACCGUGUGAUAAACCCGAUGGCUGCUAUAGCUGCAAUUUCUAUCGCUGCUGGUGCAGCUCUGGUUGUAGCAACUAGUAUAAGCUCUCUAGAUGAUGUGCCUGACUCUCCUCCCAGGAGGGGCCAAAAAAGAUCGAGAAGCAGAGAACCGGAAAGCGAUGAACAAUCGAGAAGAAGUAGAAGGUUGAAUAAUGACCAGCGAAAAUUGCUUCUAGAGGAUCUACAUACUGUGUACAAUGGAGUGAUAGAUGCAAGGGCAGACUGGCACGAAUUAGGCUUAGCUCUGGGAGUGACUGAACCGGACUUAGAUAACAUUGGUCGUGAAAAACAUGCUAAUAAUGAACGUCUACGAGAAAUGCUAUCUCUCCGAUUAAAAUUACCCACUGAUCUCACAUGGAGAAAAGUGAUUGAAGCUCUUCAGGGUCCAACAGUGAGGCGGGAUGAUGUUGCAUCUAAGUUGCUAUUACACUACUGACUCUGAUAACUAUAACAAUACACAGCACUAGCUGGUGUACCAUGUUCGUUAUAAUUAUACCUAGCAUAAAAUUAUUCUACAUUGUGUUAUUCAUUAUCAAGUAUUGGGUGAAUCA